UACAGAGGUGGCAAGCGUUGUUCGGAAUUACUGGGCGUAAAGGGCGCGUAGGCGGCCUUCUAAGUCAGACGUGAAAUCCCCCGGCUUAACCUGGGAACUGCGUCUGAUACUGGAAGGCUUGAGUGCGGGAGAGGGAUGUGGAAUUCCAGGUGUAGCGGUGAAAUGCGUAGAUAUCAGGAGGAACACCGAUGGCGAAGGCAGGUCUCUGGGCUGACACUGACGCUCAUGCACGAAAGCGUGGGGAGCAAACAGG
rnacentral:rRNA from 1 species